rnacentral:rRNA from 1 species
AUUGAACGCUGGCGGCAGGCCUAACACAUGCAAGUCGAACGAGUGGCGGACGGGUGAGUAAUGUCUGGGAAACUGCCCGAUGGAGGGGGAUCACUCCUGGAACCGGUAGCUAAUACCGCAUACCAUCGGAUGUGCCCAGAUGUGAUUAGCUAGUGGGUGGGGUAACGGCUCACCUAGGCGACGCUCCCUAGCUGGUCUGAGAGGAUGCCCAGCAACACUGGAACUGAGACACGGUCCAGACUCCGACGGGAGGCAGCAGUGGGGAAGAUGGCACAAGGGGCGAAAGCCUGAUGCAGCCAUGCCGCGGGUAUGAAGAAGGCCUUCGGGUUGUAAAGUACUUUCAGCGAGGAGGCGUUACUCGCAGAAGAAGCACCGGCUAACUCCGUGCCAGCAGCCGCGGUAAUAC